rnacentral:lncRNA from 1 species
UAUCUGGGGUCCCCCUUUUUAUAGGCAGAGGGAGCGACGGAUUGAUAGUGAUAUUUGUAACCGCCUAGUCGUGGGCCGCUCGUGGCCAGGAUGAGUUUAUUACGAAGAGUAAUGGGGUGGAGUCAUGGCAGUCACCAUGGCUCGCCACGUGGAGUCUGUUGCGGGAAGUGGAGCAGAGUCGUGGCCGUUACUGGGGCCUGCCAGGGAGUGAUGGAGCUGCAUGGGAUCCGUCGCAG